rnacentral:rRNA from 1 species
UUUGAGGGCCCAACCGGGUUCGAACCGGUGACCUCUUGAUCCCAUCAGAACUCCGCAGUUAAGCGUGCUUGGACGAGAGUAGUACUAAGUUGGGUGACCACUUGGAAAGUUGCACCCCUUUUCUCAAGU